rnacentral:rRNA from 1 species
UACGGGGGGGGCAAGCGUUGUUCGGAAUUACUGGGCGUAGAGGGCCAGUAGGCGGCCAACUAAGUCGGAUGUGAAAUCCCCAGGCUUAACCUGGGAACUGCAUCCGAUACUGGAUGGCUUGAAUCCGGGAGAGGGAUGCGGAAUUCCAGGUGUAGCGGUGAAAUGCGUAGAUAUCUGGAGGAACACCGGUGGCGAAGGCGGCAUCCUGGACCGGCAUUGACGCUGAGGAGCGAAAGCCAGGGGAGCAAACGGG